rnacentral:lncRNA from 1 species
AGGUGCGCUUUGCUUCCUAACCCGUUGCCGGGUUGGAGAUUCCACCUCCGAAGUUUUCUUUCUGACUUUUGAUUUUACAUUCCUAGUACAGUGGAGAAGCCCAGGCGGCCUAGAAUCCAGUGUCGUCCGUGAGUGCUUGGCUGGUGUUCAAGUGCAUCUUCCAGCCUGAGACCGCGUGGACUCGCUCAUCGUGAGGGCGAGAGGAGGAUAAGCCCAUUGGGCUGUCGGCUGAGAGUGAGCAGAUUGCUGAUGAAAUCCUUGGCAUCGUCGGAGAUCUCAUCGAAUGCCUCGUCGUCGAAGUCCCAGGUGGCUGAGGUAACGUUGGCCAAGGUUUCGUUAUCGUUGUCUCCCAUGAAGGGGGAAAGGCCACUGACUCUGGAGAGACAAGAGCAGGACAGCAGGUGUGGCUAGGAGAGGGCGCGACGACCAGGUGAGUGGUAACUGAGGUCAAAGGCGAGGGUCGGCCAGC